rnacentral:rRNA from 1 species
UCUGGCCUCAGAUAGGUAGGGCUACCCGCUGAACUUAAGCAUAUCAAUAAGCGGAGGA